AGUUUUCUUUCAUUAGUGGAUAGUUUUUCGAAACAUCUACAAAUGUAUUUCAUCAAACACAAAAAUUUAGUACAAGUGCAAAAGGCACUAGCCAAAUAUUUCACUUCAUUUGGAUUCCCAAACGAAAUUGUCACUGAUCACGAAACUACUUUUCGAUCUAUACAACUUAAAAAUUAUUUGGCACAGUUAGGCGUCGAAUUUGAAUAUGCAUCUUCUUCGGAAUCGAAUGGCCAAGUAGAAAGGACCCAUCUUUCCAUAGCAGAAAUCUUCAACACCAACAAACACAAAUUUGUAGGUAUGCAAACUAAAUCGAUUAUCAAAUUAUCAGUAGCCCUGUAUAAUGAUACAAUUCACUCUGCAACAAAAUUCACCCCUAACGAAAUCAUUUUUAACCAAAACAACAUUGUUAACCCUGGCGCACUUUUUGAAAAAGCGCAAAAAAUGUUUUUAGAAGCAAGAGUUCAUUUGGUUUUGUGAAACUGUUGAUAGAAACUUGCUUGCUCACUUCCAAUUGAGCUAUUUAUCACUCAAUUUCAGUUAAAACGCUUUUAAUGAGCUGUAAUCGAACGUCAAAGUGAUGAUAUGGCAACAUUAGAGGCACGAUGGAGUUUGAUGCUGCUCCCUUGUUGUUUUUUCUUGUGUUUGCUUGACCAGAAAAUUUAAAACUGGUUUAAUUAUAGUUUUUCCGGAAUACAAAUUUUGAAGCCAGCGAAAAAGUUGAUAUCGAGGUAAAAAGCUCCAAGUCAUAAAAAAGAAUUCCAGCGAGGGUUAUGUUUUCAUUUUUUUACAUUUGCGUAGAUGCCUCCCAUGUGGUGGAUACCGCCCUAGUAAGAACGACAGUUGCUACAAUGUUGCAACUGUUCGUUCUGAGAACGCGUCAGCAGAAUGCUGCGAUCCAAUGACCGACGAUCGGAUCGCACCCAUUCUGCUGACCAAGUAUUUUAGGUCACGUAGGCCCUCGGCUGUGAGGGCCUGCGUCUACUUGAGUAGAAAAUAAAGUUUAGUUAUAAACCGGAGUUCACCAGAGUAUGUUUAAUGCAGGGCUGCGGAGUCGGGUCAUGUUGUAGACGACUCCGACUUCGACUCCGACUCCGGCUUUCUGAGUUAAGCCGACUCCGACUCCGGCUUUCUGAGUUAAGCCGACUCCGACUCCGACUCCGGCUCCGGCUUUCAGGUUCAUACGACUCCGACUCCGACUCCGGCCUGCCAACUCUAGCCGACUCCGACUCCGACUCCGACUCCAGCUUUUAACAAAUUGUUGACUCCGACUCCAGCACUAACUCAGUAUUAAGAAUAUCUAAAAAAUGUUUAAAUAAAAUCUCCAUUCCUCUAACUAUCCCUACUAUUUUGAAGGUUAUUUUGUAACUUCGAUUCUUUAUGCACCCUCAAACUCUGUUUUCAACUUUGAAUUAAUCAGCUGUUCAAAGGUAUUCCACAUCUCAGCUUAAAAUAACAUCACACAAGUAAUGCUUAAACAACGAAAUAAAUUAAUUGAAAUGAAAAGUAUUAAUAACAUCACUCACAUGUUCAGCUCACACUUGCGCGUAUACCUGUAAACCGGGGUGACAUUGAUAAGUUGAAGUUUUUUUUUACAAAAUUAUUUUGCAAAAUCAGAGUACCUCAAGAAGUAAAAUUUAAUUACCCUGAAAUUUGCACUACUUUUAUUUAAAAGUUUGUAAACUAGUUAAACAAAUAUUUAAUUGUUAUUUAAAAAAAUAAAAAUAAAAGAGACCUAGCUUUCAUAAUCGAUUUGAUAUGAUAUAUAAAAUAGUUUUGCUUACAUUCAGGCUGAAAUUUGUAAGAAACAAAGUAACUAACAUCAAAGUCACCAUGGUAUUGAAAUAAACAGUUUACGUAACUAUAUUGCAAAGCUCUACUGAUUUUAUUUGAAAAUACAUACAUACAUGGACAUGUUGUGAUUCAGCCCAGUACAUGGUUUAAACAUAUAAAUCAUGAUAAAAUCCUUACCGGUUGGAUAAUAUUUGAAAAAAUCAAGUGUUAUCAAUGCUACCCCGGCUUAUGACAUUUAAAAAGAAAUAUUUGUUAGAUUUGUUCAACAAUAUUUUUAUGGAUCCACACUUUCAGAUUUUUGUAGAGAAAUAGUAAACAUUAAGGAAAUCGAUAUAUUUAAUACAUUCAAUGAUGAUUUCAAAAUUAGUUGCUGUUCCGACAACACUGCCGCCAAGUCGACAUAGGUCGCGAAGACACGGCAGGGUCACGGCACACGCAGCGCUACACAAAACACAACACAAAUAUAAACAUAAACAAAUUAUAGUAAAGUAGAAUCAAGAGAGGAGGAAGUAAACAGGAGUAAAAGUAGGGACGAGGACAAACAGAAAACGCGUUGAACGAAGAAGUUGGAGGUUUCCACGAGCAGGAGAGUGUUUUAGUGAUUGUGGCUAACGAAGGACAGUUUUAGUGCACAACAGUUAGAACGGGGCAUGCAGACGUGUUCACGAGUUGGUUAGACGAUCACAAAUAAAUCCAGUACGAACUUCGAAACGGGUCGGCCAGGACGAGACAGUUCGGACAGGACGGAUCGAACAGUACAGUACAGUGGAGAAUAGGUAACACAUAAUUUACUACCAAAGUGAACAAUGACAAUUAACACUCAUUGAAACACAGAACCGCGCGACAGGGAACAUAAACUAAAAGCGCUCGGCAAAGAGGUGCAGUCGUCACCGCUGGGGUAAUUUGUGAGUUGUUACACAGAUUAAAACUUAGAACUAUUUGUAAAUAAAUAUUAAAAUUAUCGAUAGGUUGCCAGUGUCGAAGGCGGAGCGAGAAGGUUUCGGUACAAAACGGUACAAAAACAAACCAAUCAAUGUAAGACAAUUUUCAAACAAAAACAAAACAACGAACUAAAAUUGAAUUCUAAAAUAUAAUUACAGUUUGAUCUGCAUUAGCUGAUACAAAAUCUGGUUUUAUUUGCCACCGUCCGAACAGUUGCUACUUAUUUUUGAUAUUUUCUGUCAGUUUCAAAUAUCUACAAUACGACCCUUUGAUUUUUUUUUAUUUAUAUACAAAACGAGCAUUUUUAGUUCCAAGUAAUAGAUUGAUUUACCUAAUAGAUUGAUUUACCAAUGUUUAAAAAAUGUUAUAAUUUUAGUUAAGUACUGAUAGUGAUCCUUUGUUUUUAAAUUUUGUGAAAUUUUAUUUGAAAGAAGCAAAAGGAGGGAGUCAAGCAUUUACUAAAUAUUAAUUAAAAUGCCUGCACAACCAAAAUUGUUUAUAAUUUUAUGAGUUAUGAAACUACAAACAUGGGUAAAUGAGGGGAAAUUUAUCCAAUCAAACUGAAAAUGUUACAAAAACAUAAUGGCAUCUGAUAAAUCUCUGAAAAAAAAAAUCAAUACGAGGCAUUUAAAAGUUUUGUAAAUAAUUUGCAUUAUAACAAAAAACUGAACGAUAAAAAAGUUCAUAAAUUUUAUUGAAUUUAAGUUAACUCCGACUCCAGCUCCGACUCCAAGUUUAUCAGAAAUUGUCGACUCCGGCUCCGACUCCGACUCCAGCUCAUAAAAUUUAGCUGACUCCGACUCCAGCUAUUCGAGUUUUGACGACUCCGACUCCAGGUCCCCAAAAAGACCCGACUCCACCGACUCCGGCUCUGACUCCGACUCCGACUCCACAGCCCUGGUUGAAUGUUCAACCAUAGAUGACAUCCAUCGUAGAUUAUUGGAGAGGAUUGUAAAGGACUUUACAGAGUAUGCACGGACAUUACAUGGCGAUCCAGCCAGGAGCUGUUUCGGUGCGCGAUUCCCGUUUGUGUAAGACGUCGUCGUGCCCGCCCUGGAAGCAGUGAUUUUUCGGUUUCGGCGAACCCGAGUUGGCCACUGUGUAGUAAAAAUUCAAAGUGAAAAACCCUCGACAGUAUGACUGUGUGAAAACCCAAAAAACAGUUUCAACAAGAUGAACGUGAUGAAAGUGUAAAAAAAAAAAUUAAAAA